ACCCGUUUAGCUCAUCCGGAAGAGCGCCUGACUCUGGAUCAGGAGGUGCCAGGUUCGAGACCUGGAGCGGGUGC
rnacentral:tRNA from 1 species